rnacentral:rRNA from 1 species
UACGUAGGUGGCAAGCGUUGUCCGGAUUUACUGGGCGUAAAGCGAGUGUAGGCGGUCUCGUAAGUCGGGUGUGAAAGCCCUGGGCUCAACCCAGGAAGUGCACUCGAAACUGCAUAGCUAGAGUCCUGGAGAGGAAGGUGGAAUGCUUGGUGUAGAGGUGAAAUUCGUAGAUAUCAAGCGGAACACCGGUGGCGAAGGCGGCCUUCUGGACAGUGACUGACGCUGAGACGCGAAAGCGUGGGGAGCAAACAGGG